rnacentral:rRNA from 1 species
AUUGAACGCUGGCGGCAGGCCUAACACAUGCAAGUCGAGCGAGCGGCGGACGGGUGAGUAAUGUAUGGGGACUGCCCGAUAGAGGGGGAUAACUACUGGCAACGGUAGCUAAUACCGCAUACUAUCGGAUAACCCAUAUGGGAUUAGCUAGUAGGUGAGGUAAUGGCUCACCUAGGCGACGAUCCCUAGCUGGUCGGAGAGGAUGAUCAGCAACACUGGGACUGAGACACGGCCCAGACUCCGACGGAGGCAGCAGUGGGGAAUAUGGCACAAUGGGGGCAAGCCGGAUGCAGCCAUGCCGCGUGUAUGAAGAAGGCCCGAGGGUUGUAAAGUACGUUCAGUCGGGAGGCGUUACCGACAGAAGAAGCAACGGCUAACUCCGUGCCAGCAGCCGCGGUAAUUC